rnacentral:tRNA from 2 species
GGCGCCAUAGCUCAGUAGGUAGAGCAGAGGACUGAAAAUCCUUGUGUCACUGGUUCGAUUCCGGUUGGCGCCA